GAUGAACGCUGGCGGCGUGCCUAAUACAUGCAAGUCGAGCGAACAGACGAGGAGCUUGCUCCUCUGACGUUAGCGGCGGACGGGUGAGUAACACGUGGAUAACCUACCUAUAAGACUGGGAUAACUUCGGGAAACCGGAGCUAAUACCGGAUAAUAUAUUGAACCGCAUGGUUCAAUAGUGAAAGACGGUUUUGCUGUCACUUAUAGAUGGAUCCGCGCCGCAUUAGCUAGUUGGUAAGGUAACGGCUUACCAAGGCAACGAUGCGUAGCCGACCUGAGAGGGUGGUCGGCAACAGUGGAACUGGUCCACGGUCCAGACUACUACGGGAGGAACCAGCAGGUAUUCUUCCGCAAUGUGCGAACGCCUUACGGAGCAACGCCGCGGGAGGAAUAAAGGUCUUCGAAUCGAAAAACUCUGUUAUUAAGAAAGAACAAAAGGGUAAGUAAAUCUGCACGACUUGACGGUACCUAAUCAGAAAGCCACGGAUAACUACGUG
rnacentral:rRNA from 1 species